ACCGAAAUAGCUCAGUUGUGAGAGCGUUAGACUGAAGAUCUAAAGGUCCCGGGUUUCGGCA
rnacentral:tRNA from 1 species